AACUGAUACUACCUGCGGGAACCUGCGGAAGGAUCAUUACCGAGUUUUCAACUCCCAAACCCCAUGUGAACUUAUACCAUUUACAACCGUUGCUUCGGCGGGUUCUCGCCCCGGGCUUUACACCCCGGAACCAGGCGGCCCGCCGGGGGACCCAAACUCUAGAUUUAUAUUUUAGCAUGUCUGAGUGGAAUCAUUACAAAAUGAAUCAAAACUUUUAACAACGGAUCUCUAGAUCGGAAG
rnacentral:misc_RNA from 1 species